UUAGAAAAAGACUGCGCAUCAGUUUUUGGCUUUGUUGCAUGGGUUACAUAACCAGUGGUUCAAAACCAAGUCUUUACGAUAGAGACUGUAAACCAAAUUGCCAAAUCUAAGACACAAUGAACAAAAACUAACAUUAUUCCUUAUUUUUACCAUUUGCAGCUAAGCUCAGAAGCUAGAAAGCUACUAGUCGAGUCUUAUGUUGCUCUAUGCAGAGGUGACACACAGCUAGGAGGGAAACUGGUGAAACCGAUUCAUAUUCUUUUAGCUGUCAGACUUCUUCAGUUAUCAAAAGUGUUAAGUCAGGGGAUAUCGAUCUUCCAGAGUAUCAACAUGGACGACACAGAUGAAGUCGAGAAUCCUGGUAAUUGAGAAGAAGAUCAACGGAAGGGUGCAGCCGAGCCAGCUCCUGUUACUGACUUAAGCACCGUUUAUACUCUUCCUCUUACUCUGAGACACUUAAGAACCAUAACAAGCAUCAUGGUGUAUUAUCAACAGAUAAUGGAGCAGCAGCUCGGAAGCUGGUUAUUAGCGAGGAAGAAUAUGAUAAAAUCACACAGGCCUUAAGUCAUUUGCCUUAGACAACACAAAUAAACUGUUCUGAUGGAAUCAGCAGAACGAGAAAAAGAAAUACAGUUCGCAAGAGCAAGUCAAACUUGAUCAGAGCCAUUAUUGAGGUGAAUCCAAUCCAAAACAUUAACUGUAGGGAUAUAUUCCUCUAAUUUUACCACUUCAAGGGUAAAAAUUCACGAGGUAACUAUGAAGCAUUUUGCGUCAACUAAAAAGUAAAAACUAGUUUUAAUUAUGA